rnacentral:rRNA from 1 species
UACGUAGGGGCCAAGCGUUGUCCGGAUUUAUUGGGCGUAAAGAGCUCGUAGGCGGUUCGGCAAGUCAGCUGUGAAAUCUCCACGCUCAACGUGGAGGGGUCAGCUGAUACUGCUGUGACUCGAGUCCGGUAGGGGAGUGUGGAAUUCCCGGUGUAGCGGUGAAAUGCGCAGAUAUCGGGAGGAACACCAGUAGCGAAAGGCGGCACUCUGGGCCGGUACUGACGCUGAGGCGCGAAAGCGUGGGGAGCAAACAGG